CCUACGGGGGGCAGCAGUGAGGAAUAUUGGUCAAUGGGCGUAAGCCUGAACCAGCCAAGUCGCGUGAGGGAUGAAGGUUCUAUGGAUCGUAAACCUCUUUUAUAAGGGAAUAAAGUGCGGGACGUGUCCCGUUUUGUAUGUACCUUAUGAAUAAGGAUCGGCUAACUCCGUGCCAGCAGCCGCGGUAAUACGGAGGAUCCGAGCGUUAUCCGGAUUUAUUGGGUUUAAAGGGUGCGUAGGCGGCAUUUUAAGUCAGCGGGGAAAGUCGGUGGCUCAACCAUAGAAUUGCCGUUGAAACUGGGAGGCUUGAGUAUGUUUGAGGCAGGCGGAAUGCGUGGUGUAGCGGUGAAAUGCUUAGAUAUCACGCAGAACCCCGAUUGCGAAGGCAGCCUGCCAAGCCAUGACUGACGCUGAUGCACGAAAGCGUGGGGAUCAAACAGGAUUAGAUACCCGUGUAGUC
rnacentral:rRNA from 1 species